GGAGCACAUAAAUCCCUGCCUGACUGGAAAUCCAGCCUGCAAAUGGUAGUGGAUUAAGGAAGCCAAAACCUCAGGCUCUUGGAGAAAGUGCUCACUUAUUGCAGUUAAAAUAUCUCUUCUUAGUAUGACCUCAGAAAGGUAGAGUUACAGACAGCGAGAGAGAGAGAGAGAAAGGUCUUCCUUCCGUUGGUUCACUCCCCAAAUGACCGCUAUGGCCAGCGCUGUGCCGAUCCGAAGCCAGGAGCCAGGUGCUUCCUCCGGGCCUCCCAUGCAGGUACAGGGGCCAGAGAACCUGGGCCAUCCUCCGCUGCCUUCCUGGGCCACAGCAGAGAGCUGGAAUGGAAGAGGAACAACCAGGACUAGAACCCGGUGCCCAUAUGGGAUGCCAGCGCCACAGGCGGAGGAUUAACCAAGUACCCUGUCCCUCACAGGACUCCAAGCCAGAUUCCCACCAGGCUCUUCCCUCAGCUUUACACCAGUGACGUGGGCUGCUGCAGUCUUGUCUCACCUUACUCCAAAGCUCUCUGCUGCUGGGGUCGUGAGUUGUGUAUAUCCACAUCCUCCAACACAGACUGUUUCCUGAUGUUACUGUCAUGGGCAAGUGAUGCAGGAAGAGAAACAUUGCUGAUCUGUGAAAUUGGACAAUAUAUUACAUCUGUCUUGGUAUUUAGACUACAGUAAGUACCAAGUUUAAUUGGGUUUAUGAAAUGACAUCUUGUUCAGGGCAAGGAUCAGUGUGGAAAAGAAGCUAUAAUGGAUGUUCAAUUAAAUGCCUAAGUUAAAGCUAAAUUACUACACACACGUCACUAAUUUCAGAACUACAACUCUGUAAUAAAUCACAAAUUGACCUCUUUGAGAUAAAUAUAGGAAAUACCUGGUGUGACAUUUUAUGGUGUUAAUUUUAAAAGCUUAAUCUGAUUUCUUUCCAAUUGUAUGUCCACAAAACUUCACUAGGAACUGUGUUUCUCAAUAUUUCUUGACAUUUUUUUCUUAAUAUGAGUUUAUGGAUGUCUGCAAAUAUAAUAUUAUGGGAAAUGCAAGAGCUUGUCUAAUGUUAGUAUCUGAAUCUUAGGGCUUGGCUAUCAUAGCACACAUUUUAUUAUUUUUUAAAAUAUUUAUUUAUUUAUUUGUUUGAAAGGCAGAGCGACAGUGAGAGAAAGAAGGAGAGACAGAGAGAUCUUCUAUCUUCUGGUUCACCCCUCAAAUGGCCACACUGCCCAGAGAUGUGCUAGUCCAAAGCCAGGAGCUAGGAACUUCUUCCAGGUCUCCCAUAUGGGUGCAGGGGCCCAACUACCUGAGCCGUCUUCCACAGCUUUCUCAGGCACAGCAGAUUGGAAGUGGAGGCAGCCAGGAUUUAAUCCUGUGCCCACAUGGGAUGCUGGCACAGCAGGCAGCAGUUUUACCCACCAAGCCACAGAGCCAGCCCCUACCCCGGUAGCACAUCUGAAGACACAAAAGUCACUUUCUCUGAUUACCUGGAAACUGUAGAUAUGCAAAUAAAGACCUCAUGGCAGUGGAAGUGCCCUACCAGGUCCAAUUUUCAUAAAGAAAUUUAAACAGCCAUCUUCAUUUGUAGAGCAGACUGUGUACUCCUGGAAUCUAUGACUAAUGAGCCACUUCUCAGAGAAUUGCCUUUCCUAAAUAAACAAGGUCUUUUGCACUGACCCAGGAAUCUGAGUUGUGGCUCAAAGACUAAUUGCGCCAAUUCUAAAAAGGGCACAUCUACAACAAUAUGAAAGAAUAUUCUCUCCAUCUCCAAAGUCAGAUGCUCAUUCAGAUGAAAUCCAGUUUAUUUAUCUGGCAUAUGUUUACUGUUUUCACUUUGCACUGUAAAGGAACAGAAAGACUCGACCUUUUAAGAAGUAAAAUAGAAAAAUCAGUUCUUUUUACUCUCUCGUCAAUAUAUAUAAAAACUCCUUUAUGAAUGAAUUCCAGAACUGAAUUUCCCUCUUGGUAAUUUGAUUUGAAAGAAAAUUAGAGCAAAUCAUUAUAAGCAGAAUGCUUUCAAUUAAGACAUAAUUAAUUAAAUGUGCUAUUCCAGAAUACAUUUGGAUGUACAAUUAGAUGGCUGUUUAUACUGAAUAUCUAAUUUUACACCUAAAUUGCCAGCCCCUCUCCUGGUCUUGAGCUAUGUACUCACAAGUGGCAACAAGGCUGGCCUUACCUCAGGUGGACAAGUGUUCCCUGCAGCGAUUCUGUGAACAGGUCAGAGUUUCUGUCUAUAUACAUGUCAAAGGCAACAGGUUUGAAGGGACUUCUAAUUUUAACCAGAAUUUUGUUUGAUGUUAAAUAAGUGAUAUUAAAUCCUCUUUUGUAUUUUUGCAAUUAGUAACUCUUUCAUAUUUUCUUCAUAUCUGAAGAAAAGCCAAUAACCAAAAUGUUAAAUGUCUAGGAAAGUUAUAGGUAUUUGAAUACUUUACUCAGGAAUUAUUUAAUAUUUAAUUUCUAAUUUUCUUUAAGUUAUAGAUACAAAUGUCUGAUACUCAUAUUUUGCUAUUGGUGUUUGUGGGUUAAAUAUAUUCUCAAAGUAACCACAACAGUUUAAUUUUAUUGUCUCAGAGGUAGAAGAGUUGAUUUAGCAAGUUUGUAGCUAUGUGUUCAUGUUGUUCUAAAAUAUGAAGGAAUUCAUUUAUAUGAGUAAGACAAUUCACAGCUUUAGAGAUUGGCUGCAGUCAAUAUUUCCCUUCUAUGUGCAAGGUUGUUUCAGGUUUUCUAAAUACUUGAAAAAUUUGUAAAGUGAUUUCAAGGAUUCUAAAAAGUGUGUGGUUGUUCUUAAAAGUGAGAAGCUUUUGUUGACUGCCUGCCAUGUGCCAGAAGAUGCACCCGGUAUUCUCAUGUGUUGUGUCUACAGCUGUCAGUCCUCAGCCAGUAACCUCUCAACUGCAAUGCUGAGGCCAGAAAUCCUCGAGGCAGCACACUGUUGUGUGAGUGCUGUUGCACAGGGCAUGAUGGGAAAGCCCCUUGCCUGAGUUACCGCCCAGUCUGAACUACACCUGUUAGCAUUUUAGCCCAUUGAGUCAGCCCAAUGUGCAUCAGAGGACAGAGCAGUCACCUUUUGAUUCCUGAAAUUUUACCAUUAGUGAGUAUGCUGCCUAGUUUUCUUCAAGAAUUGUGGAUACUCUGUGUCAAAGGUAAAACAGGAGGCUAAAGCAUAUGGGGAAAAACAGAUUCAAUAAAGAGAUUGUCAGUGCUAAAAUCCAUUUCCUAUUGCUAAAAACAGUGGCACACACUGGGUAAGUUAUAAAGAAUUGUUUUCAUUUUGCUCCAUGAUUCUGGUUCAAAGUGAAGGGAGCAUCACAUUGCCAGAGGUAGUAAGAGACUUUGCUGCCCCACUCAAGAUAACCCAUUUACCUUUUAACCUAUUCAUGAGCACAGGGCCCUAAUCACUUCUCCAAGUCCUACGUGGUCCUACCUCAUAAUACUUCAUAAUGUGGAUGAAAUUUCAAUGGGGAUUUUGAAGUAGAUAAACCACAGCAACACCCCAGAUGACUUAGGGAUGGCUCGGUUUUCCUUUUCUAGUACAAUUCUCUGAUCCAGUGUGCUAUGACUUUUCAAAGUUAACAGAAGCAAGAGAACUACUGGGAAAAUUAGAUAAUGGGAGCUCAUUGUUAGCAAUCUUUAACUAGGGAGCCCAAAACAUGAUUCUCAACUUUGACUAUUCCUUGGAAACACCUGGGGAAUUUUUUUUUUUUAAAUUGAUGCCUGGGCUCCAGAUUAUGCUGAUUUAAUAAAAUUAUUUAUUUACUUAUUUUCAUUUUGCUUAAAAGGCAGAACAUCAGAAACAGAAAGAAACUGACAGCAAGAUUUUCCACCUGCUGGUUUACUCCCCGAACGCCUACCAAGGGAGCAUAAAACUCAAUCUGGAUCUCCAAUACGGGUGACAGUGGCUCGAAAACUUAAGCCAUCAUCUGCUGCUUUUCAGGGUGUGCGUUAGUAGGAAGCUGGAUUAGAAGCAGAAGAACCAGGACUCGAAUACAAGCAGUCUGAUUUAGGAUGCAGGCAUCCCAAGCAGCAACUCAGCUGCUCUGCCAAAUGCCCAUCCCUAUUCUGACACAUUAAUCACGGUUAACAGCCACUGCUCCAAAGAGUUCAAUACAAUCAAAUGAAUGUUUGCCAAGUGCCCACAAGAUUUAGGAAGACCCAACACAGAGCAAAAGCGUAGGAAGCACAGUAGCUUCCUGCUUCACCAUUCAAUUCCAACUCCAUGGAUUUUCUUACUUCCAGCACCCACCUUUCCCUCAAGCAACCUGUGCAGAGAGCUCUUAGGUCUCUUCCUGGAAUUGUUGGAUGCACUUAAUUCUCGUGACAUCUUGGGAAGAAGGGGUGUCGGGUUCCACCUACAAGGUAAAGGCUGAAAUCCUACCUAGGACACUGCACUGGGCAAAUGCCUGUCAAAUUUGAAUACAUGGUUAGCAACCCUGACAUCCCUGUUUUAAUACACACUGCUGGGCCUCACCCCACUUUCUGCUUCAUCAGGUCUGAGCUGGGGCUUAAUAAUUUGCAGGUCUAGCAAACUGCCAGGUGAUACUGAUAUUGCCGGCUACAGACCACACUUGGAAUCAUUACCUCAAGGUGUGGACAAUGAAAUUAGAUAGCAGCAAUCCAUCCUUAAUGAGACUGCUAGAGGUGUUGCACUAGCGACUCUUUCACCAUUAUAAUGAUAAGAAUCCUGUGAGUAAAAUAUUUUAAAAGAAAAAUGUAGUACAGUCCAGAAUGUCUGAGAAGAAUACAUAAUUCAGCAGUCUCAAGGAGGAAGAGACAAGAGAGGAUGAACAAUAAUGGAAAGACCAUGGGCCUCAGGGACAGGGGUAGCACCUGGAUCUGAGAUGAUCAGGGAGCACUUGAAUAUUUGAGCCUAAAAGCAAAGCUCAAAGUUUGAAAGCCUAGCAAGUAGAGGGCAAUGGUGUUUAUGCUAAUUAAGCACCGAAAACUAUAUUUUCCUAUUGGGCUGAAAUGUGUGCAAGAGAUGUGUGCAUUGGCUCCCUUGUUUCUAAUCAUAAAUCUUUAAUAGAUCCAGAAAGGGUCUGAUGGUGUCAAGGGGAUGAUGAGUGGGGAUUCCAUCUAAGUCUCUGUGGUUAAUCAGUUUUAGCUGGUUAGGACCAGUUAGGAUAGACCAUAACAUUUAAAUUUGCUGUUUCCUAAACAAGUGCUACUGCAAAUGAAAAAUCUCCUUUUGAUAAAAAAGAAAACCCAGAAGAGGCAAUGAGAGUUAUGUCUCAAAAGCAAUGCUGGAACAGGAAUUGACAAAGGAUUGAGCAGAGCCCCCUGGCCUGGGAGAUUUGUGAUAUAAGUAUUCUGAAAUUAGAGAUAGUGAGACCCUUGGGGGAAUUGUUGAUCACAUCAGACUGACUUUGGUGAAAGAAAAUAUUGUGUGUCUAAAAGGAUAAAUAAAGAUAUUUCUUCUGUGCAGAAUUUAAAACCUGUGACUUCACUUGAAGACUUUGGUGUAGGUGAUGACUUCUUGAAUAAAACCCCAAAGCACAAGCAACAACAGCGAAACUAGACAAAUGGGAUUAUGCCAAACUCAGAAACUGCACAUCAAAGGAAAUAAGAGUGAAAAAAUAUCUGACACAAUGGGAAAAAUAUUUGCAGGCUACUUAUCCAACAAAGCAUCAAAAUUCAGAAUGUAUCAACAACUCAAAAAAACUCAACAACAAAAAACAGUACAGUUAAGAAAUGGGCAAAAGACCUGAAUGACAGUUCUCAAAAGAAGAAAUACAAAUGGCAAGCAUUUAUAUGAAAAAAAAUGCUUAAUAUCACUAGCCAUCAAGGAAAUGCAAAUCAAAGCCCAGAGAUAUCAGUCACCCCUGUCAGAAUGGCUAUUUCCCAAAAGACAGAGAGCAACAAAUGCUAGCAAGGAUGUGGAGAAAUGAGAAUUUUUAUACCCUCUUGGUGGGCAUGUUAAUUAGUUUACCCACUGUGGAAAGCAGUAUGGAAAUGUCUUUGAAAACUAGAAAUAGUCUUGUUGUAUGGUCAGCAAUCUCACUACUGGGUAUAAACCCAAAAGGCAUGAACAUAUUGUAUCAAAAAGAUACCUGCACCAUCAUAUUUAUAGCAGCGCUGUUCACAGUAGCCAAAAUGUGAAUCAUUCAAUAUAUCAAUUAUCAGAUGGAUAAGGAAAAUACACACACACACAGGAAUAUUAUUCAGCUGUAAAGAAGGGUGAAAUUCUAUAAAUUGCAUCAAAAUGAUUGCAGCUGGGGACAUCAUGUUGAAGAAAAUAAGAUACACAGAAAAACAAAUAUCACAUGUUCUCACUUACAUGUGGUAGCUAAAUUUUUUUAAAUCAAUGAAAAAGAAGAAAAUACCUGCGUGUAUCAGUUUUGCUAGGAAUAGUGUUUUGCCAAACUUUAAAUUUUUUUGGCAAAUAAAUUGUGAAGAAUCAUAUAUUAUAGUUUGAAUUAUUUUGUGACUUUUAAGAUAGUGAAGUGGAACCUCUUUUCAUUUGAUUAUUGUUUAUAAGUCUUGCCUAUUUUCCUAUUUUCCUGCUGAACUCUGGUCUUUUUACUUUGUUGAACUCUAUUUAGUGAAACCAAUGAGACUUCAACUGUAAUGUAAAUUAAAAACAUGUAAUCUCAAAACAAACAAAACAAAAACCUCUUCAGGUCUGUAGUUCUGCCCCGGUGUAUUUCAUUAAACAAGUUCCCCAACUGUUGAGCAUGCGCAGCGUCAGAGAUGACACAGCCAAUCAGAAUCAUUCCUAGCAGGGCAAUCACUUGAUGUUUCGCAGGUGCUGGGAGUCAGUUCUGAAGCUGCUUCAUUUUCUUCAGGUCUGAUCCUCCAGGCAGCAAGGAGUCCCGUCACCUCCCUGGUGCUCCGGCCUCCUGGGAUACCUCUGUCCUCUUGUGCGAGAUCCUGGUAUUCUUGUGACCUUGCACUCGCAAUAACCGUCCUCACGUGGGUUACACUUUACCAAAUGUUUCCAGGAUUCUGGGCCUUUGGUUUUCUUCAUAUUCUUGGUUUAUUUUUCAAUUAUAUCUAUCGCUUUUGAAAGUAUACAUUUGAAGAUAUUACGUAGAUUAAUCCUUCUUUCAUUUUUCUUAUAAGAUUUUGUUUCCUAGUCUGAAUUUUGUCCUUUACAAUUGUUUCCUAUGUUUCUUGCUGGUACACAGUAACCCACUUGCUUGUGUACAUUCCUCUUGUACCCAGUUGUUCUUAUUCUUGGUUUGGAUUUGGUUUUGGAUUAUGUUGGUUUUUUUUUUUUAUGUAAUAAUGUUACCCAUGUAUAUGUAUAUUGAGUUUUGUUGCUUGCUUAAAAGUUUAGGCUUAUAUGUAAAUUGCCAGUUGUCUAAUUUCCCUGCCUACACCUGCAGUAAAAUGUUGACUAGAGAAGGUGAGAUGAGGUAGCCUCACCUGUCUACUCAGGAAAGAAAUUUUUUAAUGUUCUGUGUUAAUUAUGCUGUAUUUUAUAGGCUCAUUGUGGACCAUCUAAAUUAUAAUAAGGAAAUUGAUUUUUUUACUAGUCUGUUAACAGCUUGUUUUUAUGGCUAGAUGCUGAAUUUUAUUAAAUGUUUUUUAACACUUAAUCCAAAAAUCAAAAUAAAAGAUGUGACUAUAGGCUGGCAGGUAUAAUCACACACACACACAAAAUGAUGGUUGUAUCCCAAGUGGGUGGUAGAUUUCAAUGUAGUUAGAAAGGAUAAAUAAUCGGGGACCAGUGUUGUGGCAUAGGGGUUAAGCUGCUGCCUGAAACACCAGCAUUCCAUAUGGGUACCGGUUCAUCUCCUGGCUGGUCCACUUCAGAUCCAGCUCCCUGCAAAUGUCCUGGGAAAGCAGCAGAAGAUGGCCCAGGUGCUUGGGUGUGUGCUGACCACCUGGGGGACCCAGAUGAAGCUCUAGCCUCCUGACUUUGGCCUUGGCCCAGCCCUGGCUGUUGCAGCCUCUUGGGGUGUAACCCAGGGAUGGAAGAUGUGCCUCUCCUUUUCUAUCUGUAACUCUGCCUUUCAAAUAAAUAAAUCCCAAAAAAAUAAGUACAUGGAACUAUGUUCAAGAAAUUUUUGAGACACAUGAUGUGACUUUUUACUCUUACAUGUACACCUGAAAGUGCACACACACAGUUAUCCAGGAAUUUUUCCACCUAUAUAUAUAUA